rnacentral:rRNA from 1 species
GACGAACGCUGGCGGCGUGCUUAACACAUGCAAGUCGAACGGAAAGGCCCUGCUUUUGUGGGGUGCUCGAGUGGCGAACGGGUGAGUAACACGUGAGUAACCUGCCCUUGACUUUGGGAUAACUUCAGGAAACUGGGGCUAAUACAGGACAGGAGCUCCUGCUGCAUGGAGGGGGUUGGAAAGUUUCGGCGGUUGGGGAUGGACUCGCGGCUUAUCAGCUUGUUGGUGGGGUAGUGGCUUACCAAGGCUUUGACGGGUAGCCGGCCUGAGAGGGUGACCGGCCACAUUGGGACUAAGAUACGGCCCAGACUCCUACGGGAGGCAGCAGUGGGGAAUAUUGCACAAUGGGCGGAAGCCUGAUGCAGCAACGCCGCGUGCGGGAUGACGGCCUUCGGGUUGUGAACCGCUUUCGCCUGUGACGAAGCGUGAGUGACGGUAAUGGGUAAAGAAGCACCGGCUAACUACGUG